rnacentral:rRNA from 1 species
AGGACGAACGCUGGCGGCGUGCUUAACACAUGCAAGUCGAGCGGUAAGGCCUUUCGGGGUACACGAGCGGCGAACGGGUGAGUAACACGUGGGUGAUCUGCCCUGCACUUCGGGAUAAGCCUGGGAAACUGGGUCUAAUACCGGAUAUGACCUCAGGUUGCAUGACUUGGGGUGGAAAGAUUUAUCGGUGCAGGAUGGGCCCGCGGCCUAUCAGCUUGUUGGUGGGUAAUGGCCUACAAGGCGACGACGGGUAGCCGACCUGAGAGGGUGACCGGCCACACUGGGACUGAGACACGGCCCAGACUCCUACGGGAGGCAGCGAGGUGGGGAAUAUUGCACAAGUGGGACGAAAGCCUAGAUGCAGCGACGCCGCGUGGAGGAUGGACGGUCCGUUUCGGGUUACGUAAACCCUUCGUUUACAGGUCGAGGGACGAAGGCGUACAAGGUGACGGUACCUGGACAAGGAAGAACGCGAACCGGACUAACGUACGUGACCGAGCCA